AGAGUUUGAUCCUGGCUCAGAAUGAACGCUGGCGGCAGGCCUAACACAUGCAAGUCGAACGGGUCCUUCGGGACUAGUGGCGGACGGGUGAGUAACGCGUGGGAACGUGCCCCUUGGUACGGAAUAGCCCUGGGAAACUGGGAGUAAUACCGUAUGUGGUCGAGAGACGAAAGAUUUAUCGCCAAGGGAUCGGCCCGCGUUGGAUUAGGUAGUUGGUGGGGUAAUGGCCUACCAAGCCGACGAUCCAUAGCUGGUUUGAGAGGAUGAUCAGCCACACUGGGACUGAGACACGGCCCAGACUCCUACGGGAGGCAGCAGUGGGAAUCUUAGACAAUGGGGAAACCCUGAUCUAGCCAUGCCGCGUGAUCGAUGAAGGCCUUAGGGUUGUAAAGAUCUUUCAGGUGGGAAGAUAAUGACUGUACCACCAGAAGAAGCCCCGGCUAACUCCGUG
rnacentral:rRNA from 1 species